CCUACGGGAGGCAGCAGUGGGGAAUAUUGCACAAUGGGGGAAACCCUGAUGCAGCGACGCCGCGUGAGUGAAGAAGUAUUUCGGUAUGUAAAGCUCUAUCAGCAGGGAAGAAAUAGCGACCUUUGGGUCGCCAGACGGUACCGGACAAAGAAGCCCCGGUUAACUACGUGCCAGCAGCCGCGGUAAUAGGUAGGGGGCAAGCGUUAUCCGGAUUUACUGGGUGUAAAGGGAGCGUAGACGGAAGCAAAAGUCUGAAGUGAAAUGCCGGGGCUUAACCCCGGAACUGCUUUGGAGAGUGUGCAGCUAGAGUGCCGGAGAGGUAAGUGGAAUUCCUAGUGUAGCGGUGAAAUGCGUAGAUAUUAGGAGGAACACCAGUGGCGAAGGCGGCUUACUGGACUGUAACUGACGUUGAGGCUCGAAAGCGUGGGGAGCAAACAGGAUUAGAUACCCCUGUAGUC
rnacentral:rRNA from 1 species